rnacentral:rRNA from 1 species
GAUGAACGCUAGCUACAGGCUUAACACAUGCAAGUCGAGGGGCAGCAUGGUCUUAGCUUGCUAAGGCCGAUGGCGACCGGCGCACGGGUGAGUAACACGUAUCCAACCUGCCGUCUACUCUUGGACAGCCUUCUGAAAGGAAGAUUAAUACAAGAUGGCAUCAUGAGUCCGCAUGUUCACAUGAUUAAAGGUAUUCCGGUAGACGAUGGGGAUGCGUUCCAUUAGAUAGUAGGCGGGGUAACGGCCCACCUAGUCUUCGAUGGAUAGGGGUUCUGAGAGGAAGGUCCCCCACAUUGGAACUGAGACACGGUCCAAACUCCUACGGGAGGCAGCAGUGAGGAAUAUUGGUCAAUGGACGAGAGUCUGAACCAGCCAAGUAGCGUGAAGGAUGGAGGUCCUACGGAUUGUAAACUUUCUUUUAAUAAGGGAAUAAAACCUCCCACGUGUGGGAGCUCGUAUGUACCUUAUGAAUAAGCAUCGGCUAACUCCGUGCCAG